rnacentral:rRNA from 1 species
GACGAACGCUGGCGGCGUGCUUAACACAUGCGAGUCGAACGGAAAGGCCCGGCUUUUGUGGGGUGCUCGAGUGGCGAACGGGUGAGUAACACGUGAGUAACCUGCCCUUGACUUUGGGAUAACUUCAGGAAACUGGGGCUAAUACCGGAUAGGAGCUCCUGCUGCAUGGUGGGGGUUGGAAAGUUUCGGCGGUUGGGGAUGGACUCGCGGCUUAUCAGCUUGUUGGUGGGGUAGUGGCUUACCAAGGCUUUGACGGGUAGCCGGCCUGAGAGGGUGACCGGCCACAUUGGGACUGAGAUACGGCCCAGACUCCUACGGGAGGCAGCAGUGGGGAAUAUUGCACAAUGGGCGGAAGCCUGAUGCAGCAACGCCGCGUGCGGGAUGACGGCCUUCGGGUUGUAAACCGCUUUCGCCUGUGACGAAGCGUGAGUGACGGUAAUGGGUAAAGAAGCACCGGCUAACUACGUG